rnacentral:rRNA from 1 species
AAGCUGAUGCAGCGACGCCGCGUGAGGGAUGAAGGCCUUCGGGUUGUAACCUCUUUUCUCUGGGACGAUGAUGACGGGACCCCCCGAAGAAACUCCGGCCCACUUCGUGCCCCCCCCCCCGGUUAUACCUAGGGGGCGGGCGUUGUUCGGAAUUUCUGGGCCUAAAAAGGACUGAAGGGGGUUGGUUAGUCUGGGGUGAAAUCCCCCCGCUCAACCCGGGGGAGGCCCCUGCUACUGGCCGGGCUGAGUCGGGGAGAGGGGGGGUGGAUUCCCGGGGUGGUGGGGGAAUGCCUUGAUAAUAGGGAGGAAACCCCAGGGGAAGACGGGGCCCCUGGCUGGUACUUAACCUAAGGUGCGAAAGCGUGGGGAGCAAACCGGAUUUGAUACCCUGGUAGUGCACGCCCUAAACGAUGCGUGCCUGGUUUGGGGGGGGU